UGUAACAGAUUGUUGGUGGGAUCAGACGGGUUUCAUUUGGUGUUCUCUUGACAGUGAAAAAUAAAGCUAUGGAACAAUUAUCGAGAGCUGACUAUCCUCGUUAUAAUUAUUUACGACGUAUAUCACAUAAUAUUUAAUUUAUUGGGUUAAGUGCAACCGAAUAGAAUGAGUACUUAAGGAAACUACUUGGAGAACACGACAGUGAUUCGAGUAGGGUUUCUGAUAGCGAUGACAAAGACUGGAUUUCAGCAAAUAGAGCUAGACAUCAAAAUCAACAAGGUAAUUCAGUGCGUGACGAACCAGAAGAUUCUGAAGAUACAGAAGAAAUCGCUGAAGAGAAUUCAGCAGUAGAAGAAGAAGUUGAGAGUAGCGAGAGUGAGGAUGAUGACAAUGAAGUAGAAACAGCUGAGCCUGAAAGAAGAGCUCAAGAACCAUCUGGGAGUUUUAUUGCCAAAGAUAAAAUAGUGUGAAACAAAACUCCACCAACUCAGCAUCAGACCGCAGCUCAUAAUGUUGUACGCCAGCGGAGUGGGCCUCAUCGCAGUACGGAAACGUUGUCAAUUAGCGAGACUUUCAAACAAAUUUUUACCUACGAAAUGGUUGAUAUAAUCGUCCGUCACACUAAUAAAAAAGCUGAAACAAUUUUCCAAGAGUACAAUGCUAACCAUCCAAACUCUCUAAUCUAUCUAUCUCUCUAACUAAUUUCUAUACAGAUCAUACAUUUGACAUGUGGCACUCCAAUUCUUAUCCGCUGUAUGGCGCGACGAUGGGAUUGACGACAUUCCAUAAUGUUCUGCGUUUUUUUCGAUUAGACGGUGGUAAUACUCGAAGUGAACGUAAAAAAGAAGACAAGACAGCUCCAAUUCGUGAUGUGUGGACAAUGUUGAAUUCAAAUUAAGCUCAGAUGUACAAACCAACAGCUAACUUGACGGUCGCACUGGAUUUACUCAAUAUAUUCCAUCGAAACCAGCUAAGUAUGGUAUAAAGAUCUGGUGGAUUUGUGAUCCAGAAAACGCAUAUACUU